GUGGGGAAUCUUAGACAAUGGGGGAAACCCUGAUCUAACCAUGCCGCGUGAGCGAUGAAGGCCUUAGGGUUGUAAAGCUCUUUCAGCUGGGAAGAUAAUGACGGUACCAGCAGAAGAAGCCCCGGCUAACUCCGUGCCAGCAGCCGCGGUAAUACGGAAGGGGCUAGCGUUGUUCGGAAUUACUGGGCGUAAAGCGCGCGUAGGCGGACCAGAAAGUUGGAGGUGAAAUCCCAGGGCUAAACCUUGGAACUGCCUUCAAAACUCCUGGUCUGGAGUUCUAGAGAGGUGAGUGGAAUUCCGAGUGUAGAGGUGAAAUUCGUAGAUAUUCGGAGGAACACCAGUGGCGAAGGCGGCUCACUGGCUCGAUACUGACGCUGAGGUGCGAAAGCGUGGGGAGCAAACAGGAUUAGAAACCCCUGUAGUCC
rnacentral:rRNA from 1 species